AAAAUAUCUUGGAAGCCAUCAAUCAAGUGGCAUGUAGAGGUUUUCACAUGAGGAAGCACCUGUGAUAUUUAGACAAAUAUAACUUUAUGGCUCAGAAAACACCAGGUGUGCAUUUCUCCUUAUCUUGUUUGAUCAUUGCAAGAGACUUCCCUUUUUUCAUUAUAUUCUGCUGAUAAUAUAAUUCUGCUGGUUUUGUGGCUUGUUGAAAGUUUUGCUUGCAGCAAUUCCCACUUCUGUAAGUUUAAAUGUAAUUCAGUAAGAAACCACAGAGGCCUUACACAUGGGAAUCUGAUAGCAUCACUUAAAGCGGUGUGAAGAAUAAUGGCCAUUGCCAGGGAUCGGUUUUACUCCCCUCACAGGCCAGACAUAUCAUGUUGUAGUAAAUUGUGUGUGGCUAAAGGCAUUGAUUGCAAUUAGCUUCCCAAGUACACGAGAGGUCAGAUCUAUAACGAGUUUUUUUUCCCCUUAUUAUUUCUGCCUGCAUGAUCACCUUUCUCUGGGCACAGCUCAGGCUGUGAUUGUAUUCCAGACCACUAUGGCAAAAUAGCAAACACAAGGGAGAACUUAAUAAGUAUCAUAAUAUGGAUCACGUAUACAUAGGCUGAGUAACUGUUUUACUGUGUGAAAGUGAAAUGUGGUGAGGGUGGAGCAUUUAUGCAGAAGCAGUUUUAAAUGUAAGCAUUGUCUUUCUUUUUAUCGAUCUGAUUACAUGCCUUUAGUGCUUACAUUUAUCUGACCCUACCAGAUGUUCUUUAUCAUUGUAGAUGACAGGGGAGAAGCUACCUUUCAUAAGUCUUUCUGGGAGGUUAUUUUUGUUGCUGCAGCAUAACAACUGCCUUUGUGACUAGCUUCACCUGGACUCUCCACCCCACACCUCCACCUAUGGACCCUAUUUCAGGGACACUGUAAAAUUCCCACGUGCACUGAUGAGCCCCUUAGUGCUCAUGAAGAGGGCGGUGAGCUUCCUCAGGUGAGCAACUACCAACGUGUUCAUUCAUCCUCAUCUCUUUUUCUUCCAAGAGCUAUGAUGAUUGCAUGCUGCAGUUUCACCUUUCUAGACAUCUCUGUUGUGCCUAGGCCUUCUCUGCUUUGCCUGUAUCACCUACGUGUGUUGCUGAUGGAGAAAUACUCUAGGGAAGAGGUAGGUCACAGGUGAGGUUGGAUGUAUUCAGUGAAAAGUCAGAGCUUAUAUGCAUGCAAGCUAUGGCAUAUGCUAUGUGCUGGUCCAGUUUGCCUAGAAAACAUUCAGGGUUGGUCCAUCUGGUGUCUUGAAUCCACUCUAGAUGGUCAUUCUGUGUGUGACAUGUCAGGUGCAUGAAUGUUUCAGUAUCACUAUUUACGUAGAUCUCCCCAUUUUCCAUUUAAUAUGUUAAUCCUGCUGCAUGGCUCUACAAGAAUUAAAUACGUGAAACGUGCCUUGAGGUCAGAAUAAGAUGGCUCCUUUAUGACAGACAACACGCAGCAUUUAGGUUCCAAGGUGACAAGAACGAUUCCUGUAAUAUUUUCCUGCUUUCUUCUCUUCAAUUCCUUUCUUAAUACCACGCUAACUGAAUGUUCUGGCUUUGGGUUUCUUUUCGAGAAGUGGAUGUAAAGCCACAGUCGCUCAUUUGCUAAAAAUAGCCAUGUGUGGUGCCACAUGGAGUGAAUUGUGCUGAGCCGUGCAUCUGCCAGCUCUCAGUUUAAUACCAUAAUUCUGAGAUUGCUGCCUCUGAGUAGAAGUCAGAAAGGGUUUUACUUCUACUUGCAGCUGGACCUUUGCAAACCUUAUGUUAUUUUUCUCAUGUAGACAAUCAUUUUGAUCGUAUCGCAUCUGAUUUAAUUUCUCUGGGAAAUCUGGCUUGAUUUGCUGGAGAGAUGCAUGUUUCCGGAGAGCUCAACCAUUCUGUUACAGAUGGAGUGGGCUUACAGCACUUAAAGUGCAGCAGGCAGAUCUGAAAUCCAGCCAUGCAAGCACCGAGAGCAGCAAAGCUGAUGUAACAAGCUGAAGAGCUGCCUGUGUUCCUUGCAGCCGACACAUCUAUUUGCAAAGAGACGGCUGGGUGUAAAUGCCCAUCAGUCUCUCAGCUAGAUCCCUUGCUCACAUAAAUUCAAGUGAUUGCUUUUUUUUUUUUUUUUUUUUUAAUGCUUGCAGGAGCGAGUCCUGAAGUGGCAGAAAGAAACAUAAUUUUCUGAGGAAGUGCAGCAGCAAGAUGUCGCUUGAACAGGAACGGUUCAGUUGCCAAUAAGCUGAGCUAAGAUAUUUAUCUGUGAUCUCUGCUGCAGAUUGUGUUGUUGUGGCAAAUGUUUGUAAUCUGCCAUCAAGCACCUUUACUUUGGGCAGAAAUGGGGAGAACAGGGUAACUUUCAGCAGAUUUCCACAAUUCAGGUUAUGAUCCUUUUGCUGCCAGAAAUCAACCCUUCCAUGGAAAGCCGGAAGAAUGCGGGCCUUCCUCUUCCCUAGGCCUGCUGCUGCUCUUUAUGACCAGCUUGUUAAAGAAGAUGUGCAUCAGCACCGUGUCCUUCAUAUCGGCCACAGUCACUGCAUGGCUAAGGACUGUCUUGCUUUGCGUGAGUGAUUUAGUUGAUCAGCACAUUUCUGCCCGGGGAUGACAAAGCGUUGAUUCCCCUGUGAUGAUGGGUGAUAAAUGAAACAAAGUCAGAAGGGCAAAAAGAAUAGCUGAGCUUUGAAGAUGAGAGGAACAAUGCAGAGAAAAUAAACGUUAUAAAAGUAGCUGCAUCCAGCUAAAACUCAAUGAAGAUAAUUUUAUGCCUUGACAGUGAGUUGCUUAAGUACCUAAUGGUAAAUUCGGGAGUCAUUGGCUUGGUGCCACUGUAUCUCUAAUUUCAUUUCACACAUCUUCAAGGACUUUUUAUGCAGGUAAAUGAGAAAUUGUGUCCUUUGAUUACUGGUGGAGUCAGCAUCCUUUUCUCUUCACAGUAAACCACUUUCUAGUAUGAGGUCAUAUAGAUGCUCUAUCAAAGGACUGUCCCUGGGCAUUUCAUAUCAUUAGUUCAUCACUGUAAUCCUGACUAAGCAUAAACACCAAACUGGCAGGAGCAGGUGGGCAGGGAUGCCAAGGGGGAAAUCUGUGCAAAAGCUGCCUGCAGAGAGAAAGACGCUGGCAGUUUAGUCUUUGUUCUCAUAAGCCCUUCCAGAUGAGGAAGGAGUUUCCUUUCCUCAGGACUAAAGGGGAGCAAGGUAGAGAAAUAAGAGAUAACUGUGAGCUACUUUGUGAUCUUUAAUGUUCACCCCCUUGCUCCGUAGCUUUAUGGGUUCCUUUUUUUUCUUUCUUUUUUUUUUUUUUUUUUUUUAAAGUCCACAAGGAGUCCACAAGCUUCUGAGUACAUCAGGCAUUACGAUGGGCCUAGAGAGAUAAUUUAAACAGCAGCUAGCAGAGAAAGGUUUGAGAAAAUUAGAGCAAGCAGUUUGGCUGUGGAGCUUGUCUGGUAGGAAGGAGCCUUGUCGCAGCUUCACAAAGAGCUAAACAGGUUGCUGGCCUGAUCCUGGGGCUCAGCAGAGCAUCCCAGCUAGCAGAAAACUUCUUUAGAGUGUACAAACUGUGCAUCACUGCUGGCACAGAGAAGGGAGUAAUCCAGUUUCUGUGCCCAUGGUGGAUAGGACAAGUUAUAGCAAGUGGAAAUCAUUACAGGAAAAUGUCAGUUUGGACAGCCAGGAGAAACAUUGAGCAGUUGGGGUAGUGAACGUUACAAAGGAGGGAGUGGAUGCUUAUCUGUGGGGAAACCAAUAAAUAGGCAUUGCUGGAGAAUGGCUAGAGAAAGUCUUAGAGCUUUUCUAAUCCUCUGUUGUAGACCUUGUUGGACUUGCAUACACUUCUAAGUAAAAGCUGGGAGAAGACAGGAGCCAACUGGAGAACAGGAAUUUGUUUGAGGAAAAAGUCACGUUUUUGGGGAGGGAAUUUGGCAAUGGAGCACUUCAGGAUGCCGUAGCUGUUGCCUGCACAAUGCUGCUGCUAGGAGGAAGCUCCAUGCCUUGUGCCUGUCAGGGUGAAAGACCUUUGCAAGUAGCAGGGGUGGCAGAUGAGGUAACACUGGGUUCAGCUGUGAAGUGAUACGGAGUCUUGCAUGUGGGAGAGCGCUCGGCAGUGCACCACUGCCUCCUGUGUCCCAGCACCCCUCCUCCUGUAUGGGAAACAGGGA
ensembl:lncRNA